GAGCUGGUGGCGCAUCUGGUAGCGCGCCGUCGCUGAGUACACAAUGCCGCACUCUUUGACGGAGGUCCUCGUUCGAUCCGAGGUCAGGUCA